rnacentral:rRNA from 1 species
UACGUAGGGGGCUAGCGUUGUCCGGAAUCAUUGGGCGUAAAGAGCGCGUAGGCGGCCAGAUAAGUCCGGUGUGAAAGUCAAAGGCUCAACCUUUGAAUGCCGCUGGAAACUGUCUGGCUAGGAGUCCGGGAGGGGCGAGUGGAAUUCCUGGUGUAGCGGUGAAAUGCGCAGAUAUCAGGAGGAACACCGGUGGCGAAGGCGGCAUCCUGGACCGGUAUUGACGCUGAGGCGCGAAAGCUAGGGGAGCAAACGGG